GAUGAACGCUAGCGAUAGGCUUAACACAUGCAAGUCGAGGGGCAGCAUGGUCUUAGCUUGCUAAGACUGAUGGCGACCGGCGCACGGGUGCGUAACGCGUAUGCAACUUGCCUCACAGAGGGGGAUAACCCGUCGAAAGGCGGACUAAUACCGCGUACACUUGGGAUAGGGCAUCCUGACCCAAGGAAAUGAAAUUCGCUGUGAGAUAGGCAUGCGUCCCAUUAGCUAGUUGGUGAGGUAACGGCUCACCAAGGCGACGAUGGGUAGGGGAACUGAGAGGUUGAACCCCCACACUGGUACUGAGACACGGACCAGAAUCCUACGGGAGGCAGCAGUGAGGAAUAUUGGUCAAUGGGCGAGAGCCUGAACCAGCCAAGUCGCGUGAAGGAUGACUGUCUUAUGGAUUGUAAACUUCUUUUAUACGGGAAUAACAAGAGCCACGUGUGGCUCCCUGCAUGUACCGUAUGAAUAAGCAUCGGCUAACUCCGUG
rnacentral:rRNA from 1 species